CCCAACAACGAGGAGUGUGUUAAGAAAAGGAUGUAAUAUAACUGUCGGUUCAUUGAGUGAAGGAAGAAGAAUUAGAAUACCAGUAGUUCAGUAGAAAUCAGUUACGUUGAAGCCCUUGAAAAGAUCCAAAUAAUGAUUCGUGACACACGUGGUAAUGUUGGAGGUUUUUUAAAAAAUCGUUGCAACAAACUGGCUUUGUGUUGGAUCCAGUUCAACAACAAUGUCCAGUUACAACGGACAUGUUGCGUCGUCAAUGAAGAAAUAUCAAGGAACUGGAUCCAACCCUCAAUAGACAGUGGACACUGGGUACCCAGUGGUCAUCCCUAAAUGUUCCCGUGCGAUUAAGAUCCGCGAUGGCCAAAAGGUGUCUAGGUCAAUCACAAGCAGGUGAUCAUCAAGACAAACGCCAUGUCCAUUUGGCUUGUAUGGAUCCCAAUGAAUUUGGAGUUGGAAUAUGGGAGUCUCUCAUUGAGAAACCGGAUUGGCAAUCUGAAUAAUUUAUAUACGAAUGACCAUCCAGAGAGAAAGAGUACAAUGAGGGAUAUAGACCAGUUCAACGAAUCCACAUGUCUCCGUGCUUGGCUAUCCGUUGUAGCCAUUUCUCUACCUACUAUGGACUCACCAUCGUCAUCAUCCAGUGUGUGCUCGAGAAUUCGAUGAAUCGUUCGCACGCAUUGGAAUCACGCGAGAGCUAUUGAUGCUGAAAUAGUCAUCAUUGGACUUGGAUCAGAAAAUAAACAUGGUUUCAUUGACCACCUAUAGACGCCGAUACCAGUCGAUGAGGUAGAGAAAAUGACAAUAUCACCGCGAUCUGAUUUACUUACAGAUGAAACUUCAGAUCUGUGCUUCUCAUCUUGUGAUCUGUAUCACUUCUAUUCCUAAUUUCAAAGAGAAGAGUCUUUAGAUUAAUAUAAGAGUAAGUAUGGCAUUUAUUAUUUCCAAUAUUAUUGCUUGAAUUUGAUAUAUUCUAUAAAAUAAUUAAUUCUGCAUCGAUUGGAAUUGAAAAAUAGGAAUCUUUCUGAUAAUUUAAGCGAAAUAAUUCAUUUUCAAGUUCACGAAUUCGGAAAAUAGUACAUUUCACACCUAGGGAGGGAAAGUAGUCUUUUUCAAACCUCGGUAAAAUUACCACCGAAGGCGAGGGUGGUAAACAAGUGAUUUAAGCUCAUUUACUUUCCGUCUCUCGGUUAAUAAUAUACUAUUUUCGUCACCUCGGCAUAGAAAGUGAACUUUCCGGCACGGGUAUGACGAAAAUAAAAUUUUUACUUAUUAAUCAACUUUAUUUUGAUGUAAUGCUCAUCUUUAAUAGAAAAAAAAAAUCAUCAAAAUCAGUGACUAUAAGCUUUUUCAUCAGAGAUGAAUAAAUAAAAAAGACUAAUGUUUAAAAUGAAUUUUUAUUGCACUCUUAUAUAUUAUACUUGCUUAUGGUCUCAUUGAGAGGAUAUAAAAAGU
rnacentral:lncRNA from 1 species